rnacentral:misc_RNA from 1 species
UUGAUUGAUUCAUGUUUCGCUCGGACGCCAGGAUGCAGAGUUGGGGGGCCGCCGGGGGCCCCGGAGCCCGAAGGCCGGGUCGCCCCCGAGGCAACGUGGUCGGAAAACAAUGGGUGGGAGGUCGGGCCGCGAGGCCCUCACUCGGUAAUGAUCCCUCCGCAGGUUCACCUACGGAGA